UUCCGUAAUUAGGGUUUUCCAUCAAAUGAAUCGAAGAACUGGAACUUUGCAGAAGUUGCUACUGCAGGAUUGAGGUUCUGUUUGUGCUUUUGACAGGUGUUCAAGCAAGAGGGUUCAUAUUUGGUCCUCCUAUUGCAUUGGCUCUUGGCGAGAAAUUUGUUCCCAUCAGAAAACCCAACAGGUUACCUAGUACAUGAUUUUUUCAUCUGUGACUUUUUUAGUUCGAUCACUUGAAUGUACAGAACAUAUAUGUCUACAUAAUAUUUGAUAUUUAGGUUUUUGGAUAGUGACUUGUAACACACACACACAUAUACAAGCUAUAAUAACAAUUAACAAGUUUUGUAAGGGAGAAGAUUGAAGUAUUAAGUUGGAAUGAUCGUAUUUUUGUUUUGGUGGUCUCUGUAAAAUGUAGCGGCUCCAAUGGCAGGACUGCUAAUUGUGUGUUAUAGAAAGAAGAAGCCAAAACAUGGGCUAACUUAAUAUGCUAUUAUUAAUAAAGGAAAAGUGUACGGGUUAGGCAAUGAUAGUGACACGUGUGUACAUAGCAGAGAAGACCCUGAGAUUGAAAAGUUGAACUUAGUUAUCAAGGAGCUCGUUAAGGAAAAAGAUGAAGAAAAAGAUGAAGAAAAAGAAACGUUCAAUGGAAUUAUUGCGGCGUUGUUG
rnacentral:lncRNA from 1 species